CAGGUUCAUAAGGGAUAUAAGGAAGUUUUUUUCAAAAAAAGGAGCAACAUUCAGUCCAAAGAGGGAGAGAGGAAAGAGGGAACGUCAGGAGAAAGUACAUGGUCAGGAAGAAGCAGUCUCAUCUGCUUUUCCCCCCCUGCCUGUUUGGAAUCUCGGAUCAUUACUCCUCUGGACUCACCCAGGCCUCGUCUCCUCGCCUCCCCCGCCUGUUAAACUCCACCUGAGAACAAUGCCUCUCCACCAUCGGCUCCUGUACCCCUGUUCCCCUUGCUGAGCUUUGCCUAUCACAGUUCAUGUUCAAAUUUCGCAGUAAUCUCAUAGCUCUAGCUCAGUAUUUUUCCCGUUCACAUUCAUAGCACUGAAUUCACUUUGUCUGAGACUUCAUAGUUCAUGGUCAUUCACCCUAGCCUCAUUCCUGGCUUUUGCACCUGUAAAUAUUAUCACAACACCAUUGUAAAUAAAACUCUUGUUCACAUGUGAAAUCUGAAAUGUGAGACGUGUGUCUGCAAUCUGCUGUGUAAAGCUAUUGUGUGCCAGAUCCUUGAGAAAGAAUCUACAAUUGUGCAAAAUGAUGAUUAGUAAAAAAUGACACCUUUGCUAUGUAAAGUAAGUUGCCCUUUUAAAUUAACAUAAAAAGAAAUGCUAUUUUUUUUCUUUGGCAAUUUAUUAUUACUAUUGACAGAAAAUUUCAUAACUCAAAACAACUUAAAGCUAUAAAACUGUUAGAGAGCUACAGAGACAGGAGAUUUAAAGAAUGAUCAGGUGAAGGAUUG